GGGUGGGAUGAGUAUUCUAAGGCGCGUGGAAGAACUCUCUUUAAGGAACUCUGCAAAAUAGCACCGUAUCUUCGGUAUAAGGUGUGGUUAGCUUUGUAUUAGGAUUUACUCCGAAAGCAAGGAAACUUACAACAAAGAGUCCCUCCCGACUGUUUACCAAAAACACAGCACUCUGCUAACUCGUAAGAGGAUGUAUAGGGUGUGACGCCUGCCCGGUGCUCGAAGGUUAAUUGAUGGGGUUAGCAUUAGCGAAGCUCUUGAUCGAAGCCCGAGUAAACGGCGGCCGUAACUAUAACGGUCCUAAGGUAGCGAAAUUCCUUGUCGGUUAAAUACCGACCUGCAUGAAUGGCGUAACGAGAUGGGAGCUGUCUCAAAGAGGGAUCCAGUGAAAUUGUAGUGGAGGUGAAAAUUCCUCCUACCCGCGGCAAGACGGAAAGACCCCGUGGACCUUUACUACAGCUUGACACUGCUACUUGGAUAAGAAUGUGCAGGAUAGGUGGGAGGCUUUGAGUAUAUGACGCCAGUUGUAUAUGAGCCAUUGUUGAGAUACCACUCUUUCUUAUUUGGGUAGCUAACCAGCUUGAGUUAUCCUCAAGUGGGACAAUGUCUGGUGGGUAGUUUGACUGGGGCGGUCGCCUCCCAAAUAAUAACGGAGGCUUACAAAGGUUGGCUCAGAACGGUUGGAAAUCGUUCGUAGAGUAUAAAGGUAUAAGCCAGCUUAACUGCAAGACAUACAAGUCAAGCAGAGACGAAAGUCGGUCUUAGUGAUCCGGUGGUUCUGUGUGGAAGGGCCAUCGCUCAAAGGAUAAAAGGUACCCCGGGGAUAACAGGCUGAUCUCCCCCAAGAGCUCACAUCGACGGGGAGGUUUGGCACCUCGAUGUCGGCUCAUCGCAUCCUGGGGCUGGAGCAGGUCCCAAGGGUAUGGCUGUUCGCCAUUUAAAGCGGUACGCGAGCUGGGUUCAGAACGUCGUGAGACAGUUCGGUCCCUAUCUGCCGUGGGCGUAAGAAGAUUGAAGAGAUUUGACCCUAGUACGAGAGGACCGGGUUGAACAAACCACUGGUGUAGCUGUUGUUCUGCCAAGAGCAUCGCAGCGUAGCUAAGUUUGGAAAGGAUAACCGCUGAAAGCAUCUAAGCGUGAAGCCAACUCUAAGAUGAAUCUUCUCUAAGCUCUCUAGAAGACUACUAGUUUGAUAGGCUGGGUGUGUAAUGGAUGAAAGUCCUUUAGCUGACCAGUACUAAUAGA
rnacentral:rRNA from 1 species